GCACACUUUCCUAAACAGGCGCCGCACAAAUUGCUAUUGUGAAGAAGGCUGGAUGGCUGCCUAAAAAGCAAAGCGAAACAAGCGCCACGUAGUGCUCGAUAAGGAAACGGUCCGUUCCGCUUUCAAUAGUGCAGCCAUUUUGGGCGCCUUGAGUUUUGGUAAUGAGCUUGCAAUGAGGGUUAAUAAACACCAUGGGUCCCCUGAGAGAACCUUUAUUUUACUGGAUCUGUUGUCAUCACACAUAACCUUAUACAGAACAGGUGGGAAGAAGUUUCUCCAGUUGCCCACCUGAGAUACUGAAGACUGGAAUUUUCAUAGGCUGUUCACACCUGAACCUUGGCAGAUGUGUCUAGAGUAAAAGGCUCGGCCUCACUUGGCAUGAAGUAUCUGGCGGAAAGUAUCUUUUCCUAUUGGCUCCAUGAAUUUAUGGAAUUAUCUUUGCUGAUGGGUCUGCUGAAUGGCAUCUCUGCAGAAGUAACGCCUUUUUGCUUGGGCUGUGCCUUUGACCACCUUGGCCUAUGCAGGUGAAUAUACUGAUUGUUUUGUUUUCACUGUUUGCCUUUUUAGACGUGUGUAAAGUGUAUAGGAACAAUUGUAACUAAUGUUCUGUUUAUUCCUCAACUUGAACAUAAUUUAAUGUCCAUUUCAAAACUUCUAUGAAUUUUGAAGUUACAUUUGUUGAAGAGAGAUGUGAAAUGGAAAGGUUUGCAUAGCAGGAAAGCUAGAAAAUUCAUUGUAUCUUAUAAGGGGAAAUUGUUUGGAAUCUUACAACAAAGAAAAUUUAAAAGUAGAGAUGACAAUGUAAAAUGGG